UUCGGUCGGGAACUCAAAGGAGACUGCCAGUGAUAAACUGGAGGAAGGUGGGGAUGACGUCAAGUCAUCAUGGCCCUUACGAGUAGGGCUACACACGUGCUACAAUGGCAUAUACAAAGAGAAGCGACCUCGCGAGAGCAAGCGGACCUCAUAAAGUAUGUCGUAGUCCGGAUUGGAGUCUGCAACUCGACUCCAUGAAGUCGGAAUCGCUAGUAAUCGUGGAUCAGAAUGCCACGGUGAAUACGUUCCCGGGCCUUGUACACACCGCCCGUCACACCAUGGGAGUGGGUUGCAAAAGAAGUAGGUAGCUUAACCUUCGGGAGGGCGCUUACCACUUUGUGAUUCAUGACUGGGGUGAAGUCGUAACAAGGUAACCGUAGGGGAACCUGCGGUUGGAUCACCUCCUUA
rnacentral:rRNA from 1 species